rnacentral:tRNA from 1 species
GGGCGUAUGGUCUAGAGGUAUGAUACCUGCUUUGGGUGCUUGAGAUAGUAGAAUCCUUUGCAGGGGGUCUUCGGUUCGAAUCCGGAUUCGCCCC